rnacentral:rRNA from 1 species
AAUAGAUACCCGGGUAGUCCAUGCCGUAAACGUUGGGCGCUAGAUGUGGGGACCAUUCCACGGUUUCCGUGUCGCAGCUAACGCAUUAAGCGCCCCGCCUGGGGAGUACGGCCGCAAGGCUAAAACUCAAAGGAAUUGACGGGGGCCCGCACAAGCGGCGGAGCAUGCGGAUUAAUUCGAUGCAACGCGAAGAACCUUACCAAGGCUUGACAUAUACGAGAACGCUCUAGAAAUAGAGAACUCCUUGGACACUCGUAUACAGGUGGUGCAUGGUUGUCGUCAGCUCGUGUCGUGAGAUGUUGGGUUAAGUCCCGCAACGAGCGCAACCCUCGUUCUAUGUUGCCAGCGGCUCGGCCGGGAACUCAUAGGAGACUGCCGGGGUCAACUCGGAGGAAGGUGGGGAUGACGUCAAAUCAUCAUGCCCCUUAUGUCUUGGGCUUCACGCAUGCUACAAUGGCCGGUACAAAGGGCUGCAAUACCGUAAGGUGGAGCGAAUCCCAAAAAGCCGGUCUCAGUUCGGAUUGAGGUCUGC